CUUUUACAAUGAAGAGUUUGAUCCUGGCUCAGGAUGAACGCUAGCUACAGGCUUAACACAUGCAAGUCGAGGGGCAGCAUUUUAGUUUGCUUGCAAACUGAAGAUGGCGACCGGCGCACGGGUGAGUAACACGUAUCCAACCUGCCGAUAACUCCGGAAUAGCCUUUCGAAAGAAAGAUUAAUACCGGAUAGCAUACGAAUAUCGCAUGAUAUUUUUAUUAAAGAAUUUCGGUUAUCGAUGGGGAUGCGUUCCAUUAGUUUGUUGGCGGGGUAACGGCCCACCAAGACUACGAUGGAUAGGGGUUCUGAGAGGAAGGUCCCCCACAUUGGAACUGAGACACGGUCCAAACUCCUACGGGAGGCAGCAGUGAGGAAUAUUGGUCAAUGGGCGAGAGCCUGAACCAGCCAAGUAGCGUGAAGGAUGAAGGCUCUAUGGGUCGUAAACUUCUUUUAUAUGGGAAUAAAGUUUUCCACGUGUGGAAUUUUGUAUGUACCAUAUGAAUAAGGAUCGGCUAACUCCGUGCCAGCAGCCGCGGUAAUACGGAGGAUCCGAGCGUUAUCCGGAUUUAUUGGGUUUAAAGGGAGCGUAGGUGGAUUGUUAAGUCAGUUGUGAAAGUUUGCGGCUCAACCGUAAAAUUGCAGUUGAAACUGGCAGUCUUGAGUACAGUAGAGGUGGGCGGAAUUCGUGGUGUAGCGGUGAAAUGCUUAGAUAUCACGAAGAACUCCGAUUGCGAAGGCAGCUCACUAGACUGUCACUGACACUGAUGCUCGAAAGUGUGGGUAUCAAACAGGAUUAGAUACCCUGGUAGUCCACACAGUAAACGAUGAAUACUCGCUGUUUGCGAUAUACAGUAAGCGGCCAAGCGAAAGCAUUAAGUAUUCCACCUGGGGAGUACGCCGGCAACGGUGAAACUCAAAGGAAUUGACGGGGCCCGCACAAGCGGAGGAACAUGUGGUUUAAUUCGAUGAUACGCGAGGAACCUUACCCGGGCUUAAAUUGCAACAGAAUAUAUUGGAAACAGUAUAGCCGUAAGGCUGUUGUGAAGGUGCUGCAUGGUUGUCGUCAGCUCGUGCCGUGAGGUGUCGGCUUAAGUGCCAUAACGAGCGCAACCCUUAUCUUUAGUUACUAACAGGUUAUGCUGAGGACUCUAGAGAGACUGCCGUCGUAAGAUGUGAGGAAGGUGGGGAUGACGUCAAAUCAGCACGGCCCUUACGUCCGGGGCUACACACGUGUUACAAUGGGGGGUACAGAAGGCGGCUACCUGGUGACAGGAUGCUAAUCCCAAAAACCUCUCUCAGUUCGGAUCGAAGUCUGCAACCCGACUUCGUGAAGCUGGAUUCGCUAGUAAUCGCGCAUCAGCCAUGGCGCGGUGAAUACGUUCCCGGGCCUUGUACACACCGCCCGUCAAGCCAUGAAAGCCGGGGGUACCGAAGUACGUAACCGCAAGGAGCGUCCUAGGGUAAAACUGGUAAUUGGGGCUAAGUCGUAACAAGGUAGCCGUACCGGAAGGUGCGGCUGGAACACCUCCUUUCU
rnacentral:rRNA from 1 species